rnacentral:rRNA from 1 species
AUACGGAGGGUGCAAGCGUUAUCCGGAUUCAUUGGGUUUAAAGGGUCCGCAGGCGGGAAAAUAAGUCAGUGGUGAAAGCCUACAGCUCAACUGUAGAACUGCCAUUGAAACUGUUUUUCUUGAGUAUAGAUGAAGUGGGCGGAAUAUAUCAUGUAGCGGUGAAAUGCAUAGAUAUGAUAUAGAACACCGAUUGCGAAGGCAGCUCACUAAACUAUUACUGACGCUCAGGGACGAAAGCGUGGGGAGCGAACAGGAUUAGAAACCCCAGUAGUCC